UACGUAGGGGGCAAGCGUUGUCCGGAUUUAUUGGGCGUAAAGAGCGUGUAGGCGGCCUUACAGGUCAGCUGUGAAAACUCGAGGCUCAACCUCGAGACGUCGGUUGAAACCGUAUGGCUAGAGUCCGGAAGAGGAGAGUGGAAUUCCCGGUGUAGCGGUGAAAUGCGCAGAUAUCGGGAAGAACACCCGUGGCGAAGGCGGCUCUCUGGGACGGUACUGACGCUGAGACGCGAAAGCCAGGGGAGCGAACGGG
rnacentral:rRNA from 1 species